UACGGAGGGUGCAAGCGUUAUCCGGAUUUAUUGGGUUUAAAGGGUGCGCAGGCGGACUAAUAAGUCAGUGGUGAAAUCUCGGGGCUCAACCCCGAAACUGCCAUUGAUACUGUUAGUCUUGAAUACGGUUGAAGUAGGCGGAAUGUAGCAUGUAGCGGUGAAAUGCAUAGAGAUGCUACAGAACACCGAUCGCGAAGGCAGCUUACUAAGCCGAUAUUGACGCUCAGGCACGAAAGCGUGGGGAGCGAACAGG
rnacentral:rRNA from 1 species